rnacentral:misc_RNA from 1 species
AAGACUAUAGACCUGCGGAGUACCUGCGGAAGGAUCAUUAAUGAAUAAACUUGGUCAAGCUGUUGCUGGUCUCUUGAGACAUGUGCACGCUUGCCACCAACUUUAACCACCUGUGCACCUUUUGUAGACUGGAAACGUUUCUCGAGGCAACUCGGAUUGAGAACUGUUGCGCGCAAGCCAGCUGUUCUUGUGUUUCUUAGUCUAUGUUUUCAUAUACUCCUAAUGUAUGUAAUCGAAUGU